rnacentral:rRNA from 1 species
GAGUCUGCAACCCGACUCCACGAAGUUGGAUUCGCUAGUAAUCGCGCAUCAGCCAUGGCGCGGUGAAUACGUUCCCGGGCCUUGUACACACCGCCCGUCAAGCCAUGGGAGCCGGGGGCGCCUGAAGUCCGGGACCGCGAGGACCGGCCUAGGGCGAAACUGGUAACUGGGGCUAAGUCGUAACAAGGUACC